rnacentral:rRNA from 1 species
GAGUUUGAACCUGGCUCAGGAUGAACGCUGGCGGCGUGCCUAACACAUGCAAGUCGAACGAAGCGCUUUUCCCGAAUUUUCGGAGGAGGGGAGAGUGACUGAGUGGCGGACGGGUGAGUAACGCGUGGGGAACCUGCCCUGUACCGGGGGACAACAGCCGGAAACGGCUGCUAAUACCGCAUAAGCGCACAGUGCCGCAUGGCACGGUGUGAAAAACCACGGUGGUACAGGAUGGCCCCGCGUCUGAUUAGUUGGUUGGCAGGGUAACGGCCUACCAAGACGGCGAUCAGUAGCCGGCCUGAGAGGGUGAACGGCCACACUGGGACUGAGACACGGCCCAGACUCCUGCGGGAGGCAGCAGUGGGGAAUAUUGCACAAUGGGGGAAACCCUGAUGCAGCGACGCCGCGUGAGCGAGGAAGUAUUUCGGUAUGUAAAGCUCUGUCAGCAGGGAAGAAGAAUGACGGUACCUGAAGAAGAAGCACCGGCUAAAUACGUGCCAGCAGCCGCGGUAAUACGUAUGGUGCAAGCGUUAUCCGGAUUUACUGGGUGUAAAGGGAGCGCAGGCGGUUCUGCAAGUCUGAUGUGAAAGCCCGGGGCUCAACCGCGGGACUGCAUUGGAAACUGCGGGACUGGAGUGUCGGAGGGGUAAGCGGAAUUCCUGGUGUAGCGGUGAAAUGCGUAGAUAUCAGGAGGAACACCGGUGGCGAAGGCGGCUUGCUGGACGAUGACUGACGCU